AGAGUCCUCUCCCUGUAACCCAGAAUGUUUGCACGUCCCACCCGCGCUUUGCCCAGCUCCUCACUGUCCUUGGACUUCCCUGGAGAACGUAGAACUGAUGUGCACUGUUGGCUCCUGUUGUGCUGCACAGGCCUCCGUACAAACGGAACUCAAGAGCAUACACCACUCAUCUCUGCUAGUGGAUCACCUCUGAACGCUGUCUGCGCUGGGCUGAGGAUGCUCAUUACUGAAGUUCAAGGUUCUUACUGAUGUCACUGGAAAAUUUGUCUCUGCUCUGAGAAAUCACAGGGGUUAGUCUUUGUGACUCGUGAGGUGACUACACUAACACCUGGUGUUGAUAAGAUGGCAUGAAAACAGCCAGCUCUGGAAGUCGUGCGGAGUGAUGGCUCAGAAGUGAAUAGUGCUUGCUGCUCUUUCCAAGGACCCGAGAUGGGUUACCAGCACCCAUGUUCUCCAGAUCACAGUCUUCGCUAACUCCAGCUCCAGGGCUUCUAACCCCCUCUUCUGGCCUCCAUGGUACCUUUACUCAUGUGCCUGACAUCCUCCCACACAUACUUAAUGAAAAAUUAGAAUUAAAUCUUUAAUAAUAAUAAUAAAGAGUCCCGGAAGAGUUUCA